UACGGAGGGUGCAAGCAUUAAUCGGAUUUAUUGGGCGUAAAGGGCGCGUAGGCGGCGUGAAAAGUCAGAUGUGAAAUCCUGGGGCUCAACCUCAGAACAGCAUUUGAAACUCUCACACUAGAGGGUAGGCGGAGAAAACGGAAUUCCACAAGUAGCGGUGAAAUGCGUAGACAUGUGGAAGAACACCGGUGGCGAAGGCGGUUUUCUAGCUUAUUCCUGACGCUGAGGCGCGAAAGCAAGGGGAUCAAACAGG
rnacentral:rRNA from 1 species